CGCCAGAGACAACGUUAGUACACUUGGAAUUGUUAUUAAUUUACUUGAUGCUGGUUGACUCUGGUGAUGUUCCUAACAUUUACUGUUUUUUUGUUGUAGUGGACUCUCUGCCACAGAGGUUGGCAACAGAAGUUGCAACAGAGGCAGAAAGGGAAAUGGCCUCUUCCAGGUAAACCAUUGUAUCAAUAAUCUAAGCAUAGAAUUUCAGUAUUGAUUAGAAAUGUUGUCACAUCUGUCACUAUUGUUAUGUUUUAAGAACCACACUGGACACCAUUAGGGACUGGGGAAGGAAUAUCAGUGUCACCCUUGAGAGGCAAAAACCUGCUCUGUGCUGUGCUGCAAUAUGUUGCAAUGCUCCAGCAACAUACAAUUGCAAUGUGUGUUAUUGAUUUCAAAUGACUAAACAAAGUUGUUAUUUUUUGGCAUGCAUUAUUGUUUGCCCUCUUUAAUCCAUUUUUAAUUUCCAGGCCACAGCAGGAAAGUGGAGAUGAAACAGCUUGUCAGCUUGUGCAGAUGGAGAGGUACUUCCUCAGUUUAACAAUGCAAUUGUUAGAUCAAUGAAUAUAAUUGAUCUCCCUGGUCAAAGUAUUUAGAACCUUGCUGAUGACAGAAAACUGAAGACGAUGGAGAGGAAGAACAGCAUCCUCCAUCGUUGGUCCCCCUCCAGCCUUCGCUUCCAGACUGCACUCCGCAGAGUAACAGAUUGAGAACAUUCAGUCUGGUGCUGGAACGGAGGUUCCUCUGUGGCCUGAUGAGAAAAUAUGCAGAUGGUCAAGGUAUAGCCAACCGCCUGUCCAAAAGGCUUGCCACGGUUAAAAAUGUGAAGGACUACAACCUGAGGAGACAAGGUUUGUCCUCACAGCUCCCACAGGCCCUGGUGUAUGAGGAUGCAGUGCAGGUGGACAGCACUGUUUGGUCCUGGAGAGCAGGAGGAGCAGAGGAUGAUGAGGAGUUUCACCUCAAACAAAGGCUCUUUGUGCUCCAUCCCCUCGGGCGUGGGAAGAGAAGCGGUACAAUGAGGAUGAUGUCUUCACUGCCAAGAAGUUCUACUCAGUUCUACGCAGAAACUGAUUGUGGAGGCCAGAGCAAGAUCGAUUUUGUCUUGGGGCAAGAGCUGUCCUUGCUGGAAAUCUUGAUGAGCUCCAGCAGGCAGAAGGACAAUGUGAAUCUUUCAGAGGGGCUUUUAUUGAGGACAGUGGCAAAAACUUUGAAGUGGAGGACAUCGAGGAAGUGGAUGAUGACUAUUAUGAUGAUGAUGGUGAUGACGGUGACAGUAAUGGUGAUAUUGAUUGAGGCUGAGGGUUGCGGUGUCCAUUAUGUUUUAAUUUAUGUCAUUGUAUUCGGCAAGUAGCCUAGUGGCUAAAGCAAUGGACUAGUAACCGAAAGGUUGCAAGAUUGCAUUCCCGAGCUGACAAGGUAAAAAUCUGUCGUUCUGCCCCCGAACAAGGCAGUUAACCCACUGUUCCUAGGCCGUCAUUGAAAAUAAGAAUUUGUUCUUAACGGACUUGUUUACAGUUGUAUGUUUUAUUGCUCUUUUGGGGUUAAAAGAAGCACAUUUCUAUUUAAUUGUUAGAUGUGAUACAGGCCAUUGUUGCAUGUCAUUUACUAUUUAUGUCAUGGUGAGAGAACCUGAGGUGAGCCUGGUAUACCCCAACUUGAGUCUAAUGGAAUAGACCGGUUUGCUUCCUCCAAAGUAUUGUCUUUUUAUUGACCUGUUAGUUGUCAUUUUGAAUAUCUAGAACACCAUUGGCAUCUUUAAAUUAAAUAACUUCUGCACCU
ensembl:lncRNA